CUAACAAGGAUUCCCCUAGUAACGGCGAGCGAAGCGGGAAUAGCUCAAAUUGAAAUCUCCGACGCUUGCGUCGGCGAGUUGUAGUUGCGAGAAGCACUUUCUCGGCGGAUCGGCCGCGUCCAAGUUGCUUGGAACAGUACGUCGCAGAGGGUGACAACCCCGUCCGUGGCGUGGCCGGCCGCUCACGAUGUGCUUUCGAAGAGUCGGGUUGUUUGGGAAUGCAGCCCAAAACGGGUGGUAAACUCCAUCUAAAGCUAAAUAUUGGCGUGAGACCGAUAGCGAACAAGUACCGUGAGGGAAAGAUGAAAAGAACUUUGAAAAGAGAGUUAAAAAGUACGUGAAACCGUUGGAAGGGAAACGAAUGGACUCAGCAAUGCGCCGUCUUUUGAGAUUCAGCCGCGCGGGCCGGCUCGGCCCUGGACUUUUGCGGAUCCGAACGGACCGCGGUUCGGGGCUCGUUUCGGCCCGCCGUCGCACUUCUCUUGGGCGCAAGUCAACGUCGGUUGGGUCUGGGUCUGAAAGGUUCCGGGAAGGUGAGUCGGGCAGCCCGGUUCUCUAUCUCGCGGCUCGGACCCGACCGAGGAAGCAGUAGCAGUCGCAGCGCAUGCCUCUUUUGGCUAGGGUCCCGUCUCCUCCGGCCGGUCGUCGACCGCGGUGGACUGCUUGCAGUGCUCCGCGACUGCUGCCGGUCGUUGGGGCGGUGAUC
rnacentral:rRNA from 1 species